UGGGGAAUUUUGGACAAUUGGGGAAACCCUGAUCCAGCCAUCCCGCGUGUGCGAUGAAGGCCUUCGGGUUGUAAAGCACUUUUGGCAGGAAAGAAACGUCAUGGGUUAAUACCCCGUGAAACUGACGGUACCUGCAGAAUAAGCACCGGCUAACUACGUGCCAGCAGCCGCGGUAAUACGUAGGGUGCAAGCGUUAAUCGGAAUUACUGGGCGUAAAGCGUGCGCAGGCGGUUCGGAAAGAAAGAUGUGAAAUCCCAGAGCUCAACUUUGGAACUGCAUUUUUAACUACCGGGCUAGAGUGUGUCAGAGGGAGGUGGAAUUCCGCGUGUAGCAGUGAAAUGCGUAGAUAUGCGGAGGAACACCGAUGGCGAAGGCAGCCUCCUGGGAUAACACUGACGCUCAUGCACGAAAGCGUGGGGAGCAAACAGG
rnacentral:rRNA from 1 species